GCCAGUGUGGUACAGUGGUAUGAGUGUUGGACUAUGAUUCUGGAGACCAUGGUUCAAAACCUGGCUGGGUCA